AUGUAAAAGUGACAAUAGUGGUGCAAUGUUUGAGAAUGCUUCAGGGGUGAAUUUUGAUGCUUACAGAAACAGAAAAAAGUUCAGGAAUUAAACCCAGUUAGUUCUACAGUCAAAAUUAAUAUACCAAUGAAAGAAAUAAAGGAACCUUAUAUACUCAACAAGUCAACAUUCAGGCUUUUUGUUGAUUAUCCUUACUUCCAAAUACAAUGUAGAAGAUAACUGACAAGUUUUUUGGCUGCUAGGUUUCAGUCUUUUUGUCUUUCAACUUUCUUUAUAUCCAUGCGUGGAAAGGAUUCUUGGACCUAUAACAAUAUGUCGCCUUUCUGGGGUUAUAUCCAUACCACUGUUGUCCAGUUACCCUUUUAUUGCCAUGUUGUCAGGGUUCAGCCUUACCCUUCUGCUAAAUUGCGCAUCUAUAAUGAAGAAUAUUCUAUCUGUGAGUGAUCCUGCUAAAUUGGGCAUUAUUGAAUUUUCUUAUUACACAUUAUGAAAAGUAUUUCAUAUUUUUAAUUUU